GGCUCGUGCUAGAGAAGAAGUCAAGCAAGUUUUUGGUGAUAAAGAACCCAAUGCAGAAGGCCUGAACCAGCUCAAAGUUAUGACGAUGAUAUUACAAGAGGUCCUUAGGCUAUAUCCUCCAGUAAUCAAUAUGGCUCGAGCCAUUCACAAA